AACGGGUGAGUAAUGCAUCGGAACGUGCCCAGUAGUGGGGGAUAGCCCGGCGAAAGCCGGAUUAAUACCGCAUACGACCUACGGGUGAAAGCGGGGGAUCGCAAGACCUCGCGCUAUUGGAGCGGCCGAUGUCAGAUUAGGUAGUUGGUGGGGUAAAGGCCCACCAAGCCUACGAUCUGUAGCUGGUCUGAGAGGACGACCAGCCACACUGGGACUGAGACACGGCCCAGACUCCUACGGGAGGCAGCAGUGGGGAAUUUUGGACAAUGGGGGCAACCCUGAUCCAGCCAUGCCGCGUGCGGGAAGAAGGCCUUCGGGUUGUAAACCGCUUUUGUCAGGGAAGAAAUCCUCUGAGCUAAUACCUCGGGGGGAUGACGGUACCUGGAGAAUAAGCACCGGCUAACUACGUGCCAGCAGCCGCGGUAAUACGUAGGGUGCAAGCGUUAAUCGGAAUUACUGGGCGUAAAGCGUGCGCAGGCGGUCUUGCAAGACAGAUGUGAAAUCCCCGGGCUUAACCUGGGAACUGCAUUUGUGACUGCAA
rnacentral:rRNA from 1 species